AUACGAAGGGGGCAAGCGUUGUUCGGAAUAACUGGGCGUAAAGCGCACGUAGGCGGAAUGGUAAGUUAGAGGUGAAAUCCCAGGGCUCAACCCUGGAACGGCCUUUAAUACUGGCAAUCUAGAGACCGAGAGAGGUGAGUGGAAUUCCGAGUGUAGAGGUGAAAUUCGUAGAUAUUCGGAGGAACACCAGUGGCGAAGGCGGCUCACUGGCUCGGUACUGACGCUGAGGUGCGAAAGCGUGGGGAGCAAACAGGAUUAGAAACCCCAGUAGUCC
rnacentral:rRNA from 1 species